GCUUUCGUGGUGUAGUUGUCAGCACACUCGUAUUCGAGAGGUCCGUGGUUCGAGUCCCGGUGAGAGCA
rnacentral:tRNA from 1 species